CUUUGAGAUGAACCCGUUUCCAUCGCGGUCAAACACUUUGAAGGCCUCACGGAUCUCUGCAAAGAAGACAAACACACACAAGCUGAAGUCACAAAGAAGUGCAGGAUAUAAAGCUGCAAGUUUUCGUCAUCACAGCCGAUAUCAAGUUGAGGCGACGCCAAUAUUCACAGAGCAAAACCUGCAAAAAGCACCUCAAACAAAGGUAAUAAAGUCUGCUGGAUCCACUCCUUCAUGGCAAUCGAUCAAAACGGGAAUAAAUGCCUCAACUUCAACCUACCCGACAGAGAGAGUUGGAUGACAAGAAGGACAUCCCACUUUUAUCUGUAAAUAUGAAGCAGACAUGAGCAGCUUGUCACUGUAGCUUAGCUUAGCACAAAGAAUAACAGGGGGAAACAACUUGCCUGGUUCUGUCUAAUGGUGACAAAAUCUUUUUUGUGGAAGCAUGUUGAACAACAAUGUACCAAACUCCGCUAUCCAGCUACCAGGCCUGCUAAUCCUUCCGAGCAGACUAGCGGAUGUAAGCUAUGUAAACACGGACACGUACUGGUGAAGAAAUGGGGUGCUUGCAUCCAACUACUUCCAACCACUGGUGGAGUUUGUGACUGUUAAAUGCUGACCAUUCUGCAUCCAACACAAAAUUUGAGGCUGUGUUUAUACUUGAUGUUCACAUCACUCCAAGCACUAAUGCUAACAAUGCGUUAGUUGAACUUUACGGAGCCUAUAAUGUGUUUGCACUAAAUGUA